ACGAACGCUGGCGGCAGGCUUAACACAUGCAAGUCGAACGCGUGUAGCAAUACACGAGUGGCGCACGGGUGAGUAACGCGUGGAUAUCUGCCUUUUGGUUCGGAAUAACCCCGGGAAACUGGGGCUAAUACCGGAUGGUUCCUUCGGGAUAAAGAUUUAUCGCCAAAAGAUGAGUCCGCGUACGAUUAGCUAGUUGGUGAGGUAAUGGCUCACCAAGGCGACGAUCGUUAGCUGGUCUGAGAGGACGAUCAGCCACACUGGGACUGAGACACGGCCCAGACUCCUACGGGAGGCAGCAGUGGGGAAUAUUGGA
rnacentral:rRNA from 1 species